UUGCUCUGAUGACAUUCUUAGGACACCUUUGGAUUAAUUGUGAAAAUAAACUUGUAUUCUGAGCAAC